AUCCAUUGCACCGCCCGCAUCUUUUCUGAGUCAUUGUGGGGGGUUUAGGGUUUAUGGUUUUUGCAGCGGCGUUUCUUCAAUCGAUUAGAAGUCUUGAAUGAAGAAAUUGGUGUUGGCAUUUGGGCGUCGUUCAUCUUCUGCGGUUUAUAACUUCUUGAAGGGUUUUGAGCAUAGAUUUACAGUUUAUCAAGUUCUUUAUGAAGAUUGGGCUUGAUGUUCGCUGAGAAAAACAAUUGUACUUUUGCAACCGUUUUCUACUUCAAUAGAUCAGUUCUUUCUGAAUCCAUUUGUUUUCAUUCAAAUUAGAUUCACAUUAGUAAAAUUUAUUUUGUUAUUGUUCCACAAUAUCAAAAAUUGUUGAUGAUAUCAAUAAUUAAA